rnacentral:lncRNA from 1 species
CAAAACUCCAUUCCCAAAUUUCUUCAUGAAAUUUCAUCCCUCCCUCUCAAAGAAACUCUCUCUACAAAUCUCUAUUGGAGAUGAAACUCAAGAACAUCUUAGAGUAAGUGUAGGUGAUUAAUUACUAGAGGAUUCCUCUUAAAGUGAAGGGCUUUAUACAUGUUUCCAAGCUCAAGAAAAGCAAUUAUGAUUCAAGGAUUUCCUAUGUCAAGUUAUUAUUCAAAGUAUAUGUAAUAGCUUAGUUAUUAUUUAUGUCGUUAAGAGUCGUGUCCCUAUUCUACUCUAUUGAAGUUGAGUCUACGAUGACAAAAGAUAGUCAGAGUCUAACUAUGUAUUAUGGCUAUUUUAUGUUUGUAUGAAGUGAUGAGUCUAGCAUAUAUUGUGUUAGAAAUGUUUUAAAUUUUUCGCUGGAUUUCCUAUAACAAUGCGAUGAAUCAUGUCUAUCUAUGGGUUGGUACAAGACCUUCGUGAGGUCAAGUACGCCAUGUUACUUCUAAGGGAAGCUCCCUGGUACAGACAAAAUAAAAUUCUUUUUAGAGAUAGAGAAAAUGGAGAAUGGAAUUACAAGAUAGGAGUCAAAUCCUAACCAAUAAAUUUAAAGUUCAUCUAGUCAAC